rnacentral:rRNA from 1 species
UCCCUACCGGGGGGCAGCAGUAGGGAAUCUUCCACAAUGGACGCAAGUCUGAUGGAGCAACGCCGCGUGAGUGAAGAAGGGUUUCGGCUCGUAAAGCUCUGUUGUUAAAGAAGAACGUGGGUGAGAGUAACUGUUUACCCAGUGACGGUAUUUAACCAGAAAGCCACGGCUAACUACGUGCCAGCAGCCGCGGUAAUACGUAGGUGGCAAGCGUUAUCCGGAUUUAUUGGGCGUAAAGCGAGCGCAGGCGGUCUUUUAAGUCUAAUGUGAAAGCCUUCGGCUCAACCGAAGAAGUGCAUUGGAAACUGGGAGACUUGAGUGCAGAAGAGGACAGUGGAACUCCAUGUGUAGCGGUGAAAUGCGUAGAUAUAUGGAAGAACACCAGUGGCGAAGGCGGCUGUCUGGUCUGCAACUGACGCUGAGGCUCGAAAGCAUGGGUAGCGAACAGGAUUAGAUACCCUGGUAGUCCAUGCCGUAAACGAUGAUUACUAAGUGUUGGAGGGUUUCCGCCCUUCAGUGCUGCAGCUAACGCAUUAAGUAAUCCGCCUGGGGAGUACGACCGCAAGGUUGAAACUCAAAG